rnacentral:rRNA from 1 species
UCAGAUUGAACGCUAGCGGGAUGCCUUACACAUGCAAGUCGAACGGCAGCACGGACUUCGGUCUGGUGGCGAGUGGCGAACGGGUGAGUAAUGUAUCGGAACGUGCCUAGUAGCGGGGGAUAACUACGCGAAAGCGUAGCUAAUACCGCAUACGCCCUACGGGGGAAAGCAGGGGAUCGCAAGACCUUGCACUAUUAGAGCGGCCGAUAUCGGAUUAGCUAGUUGGUGGGGUAAUGGCUCACCAAGGC